CGGGAUAGCUCGGUUGGUAGAGCAGAGGACUGAAAAUCCUCGUGACCAGUUCAAAUCUGGUUCCUGAACGGUCGGGAUAGCUCAGUUGGUAGAGCAGAGGACUGAAAAUCCUCGUGUCCCCCAGUUCAAAUAA
rnacentral:tRNA from 1 species